CCCGGCAACCAUAACGGAGGGGAAACACCCGAUCCCAUUCCGAACUCGGAAGUUAAGCCCUCCAGUGCCGAUGGUACUGCGGGGGGAACCCCGUGGGAGAGUAGGUCGUUGCCGGGU
rnacentral:rRNA from 1 species